UUAUGGAGACUGACUCACUUCUGGAGCCAGCCUCAGGUGGACGUUAGAGGAACUGCAGUUUUUGUCGCAUUGGCUUCACUUCACAGAGACGCUUGGUGUACACUAAAUAGUGCACCUGUGAAACGUCUUAAACCUGCAUUAUGUCUAGUGUCCAGCAGGGGGCGACUCCAUUGGUUGCAAAGAGAAGUCUGGUUGUUUUGAGUCUUAUGGGGAAAUAAGUGGCCUUUUAGCUGAUUUAUGACCCCAGUAAACAGUUUCUUCAUGAGUUCAUGGUCUCAGUCUUUAGUUUUAAGUCUUCUUCCACACGGCACGAUGUUCGUUCAGUAAACGAUGGUCCCAUUUGGAGUAAAAUAGACGAUACAGCAGGGUUCAGAUUCUGUUCCUGCAUCGACUUUCUCUCCUCAGAUGUUUCACAACUGAUUUCAGUUUCUGUUUAGCUGGAAUACAAGAAUGUCUGUGACCAGGCUGGACCUCCAGGACGAGUUAAAAAACCAAGUGAGGUCCCCGCUCGCAGUGCGUCACCCACCAGCUCCACACGCUCUCGUCAAAAUAUGAUCACGUCUGGCUCCAAAAACAAGAUGGCGACGUCCCAAGUGCCUCAACUCGAGGCUUCAAACGGUUAUCCACAAAACCAACGAGUGACGUCACGGCGGGUUUGCACUUGCAGAAUAAUGGCAAAAACAAAUAGCAACCAGUCAGCACUGACAUAAAUAUACAAACAUCAUCUUGAUCUCUAACCUUAAAUUAAAACCACAGAGUGAAAAAGAACAAAAACAAAAACAUUAUGGCAACAUUAUUACGACAAAAUCUGUCAAGAUCUGUCUGGAUUCACUGAGAAGAGAUAUUAUUUAAACACCAUGAAAAAGAAAAUUGGUACUUGUCACUGUGUCAUCGACAUCUUUAUACUUUUGUUUUGUCAUUUUGGCUUUAUUGGACAGCUGACAGUGUAAACAUGAAUGGGAAACAUCGGGAGAGCAACAAAAGGUUCCUAGCUGGGGGGAUAUUUGGUAUGAGUCUCAAGAUGCAAUACCAGUUUGAACAAGCUGAUAAUAGUGUUUGUGAUUGCAGGAAAUGGGAUUAACCGACCGAAUAUCCGAAUCCACUGAAUGAUCAUCGACUUUCUCGGCACGUUACUUGAAGCUUUUCCACCAGAAAGAAUGAAGAUAAUGCUCCUGGAACGAGUGCUGUCGAGGCCGAGCAGACUCCAGAGAGGAAAACGUUAAUGUGCUUCUUGUUUUGAGGAGAGGAACGCUCCGGACUGAGUUAUCAUUUUCUGCCUGCCUUGACAUGCUGCCAUUCGGAAAACAAGAGACGUAUCCACGGCAACAGCCAAACAAUCGGCUCCACAGCCCCGGUUGCCAAUAAAGAGAAAGAGGCCAGAGAGGACAGGAAAAGACCCAACAACACCUGUUAAGACACACCUGGGGGGCUCAGCAAAUUCCUCUCAAGACCCCUCACACAUCACAACACUACAAAUUAUUUUGUUUCUGCACACGUGAGAAGCAGAUUUUUUAAACGAGGCUGGAUAAAUCACAGUUGGUUGAAGUAUAUCCACGUCAAUGAUCGUUCGUUUUAUGUCAAACACUUAAUAUAAACAAAA